CACAGUGUCGUUUAUCAAAUAGUCACGGAGAAGAUACGCCCCGCCCGAGGAUCGAACUCGCGACCCCGAGAUCCGUAGACCAACGCUCUUACCUAUUGAGCUAAGCGGGCGGGCUAUGAACGAACUGUAGUUCAUACAAAACAUCAAGGGAUCAGAAGUAGAAGUUUUGACAUUUAUAAAUAGAUUUAAUAAUGAAGAACGCUGGAAAAAGAAUGCUUUGUAAACAUGAGACCAGGGUAUUAAAGCGUGACGUAUGUAUUUAAAAGUGAUUUACAUGUAACAUACUUUGCUGUCUGUCAAGGUUAUACAAUUUUCUAAAUAAUACAUUUCUCAAUAUUAUCUAGUUAUCAAGCAUUUCGUAUUUAAACAAUACCUGUGAUUGUGUAUAAUUAUGUACCCGGAAGUAGAAUUUACGAUUUUUAUCAAUAAUGUUUAGUUUCGUAUCUUAUAUUUAAUGUUUUCUAAGGGAUAACUAUGUUUUCGUAAGUUAUAUUCCCAGUUAUAAUCAGUAAAUGAUUGUUGGGAUAACCUCGUAGAGGUAGAAGAAGUUAAACAAACUAUAAGCCUGCUACAUAGAUACGUUUUGUGAUAUUUAUCUACGCGAAUGGCUUUGAUGGAACUGAUGUAUAAACACUGUGGACUGCAUUGUCCAUACGAAGAAAAUGGAUGUAAAUAUGUUUCAAGGCGUAAGACUAAAGAAGAAUUUGUGAGACAUAAAGAAACAUGCAAAUAUGGAAAACGUCCAAAGGUUAAUACCGAAUGUGGACUGGUACGUGAUUUAAGUAGAAGCUUUGAGACUCGCAGUACUGAAAAUGAACCAAAGGCAAUGACAGCUACUCAUCUGUAUAAACGAGAGGAGAAUUUGAGAUGUAUAAAUAUGUUACCCAGAGGCAUCUCCGGUAACAAAUAAAGAACCUUCUUUGCCUGAUCAUUUGACAGAAAAUGUGAGGCGUGCUCAGAUUCAUGAUGUAAUAGAAAGAUUGGAGGCAGAAAAUAAAACUAGUGAAGAUGAACAUAAUCAGCAGUAUGUACCCAGCAGAUCACGCUGCACUAGCUUGACAGAUCAAGAUCAAGAGCAAGUAGAAUCCGACGAGUUUCAUCCUGAAAACACAAGAGAUAAUUAUACACAUGCACAUGUUACAGAGGAACAUAGAGCUUUGUUCCGUUUUUGAAAGACAUUAUUCUUGUUAACAUUUCUUGGAAUAUACGUCAGAAAUACAAAACAAUCAAAGAUAUCGUUCAUAGCGCUUAUCUUCUAACCUUGCCAAAUUUCGUUAUCUGUGGAUGCUAAAGAAAAAAAUAAAGUAUGUUUUAUAGAGUGAUUGCCACGAACGUCAUUCCAUUAACAUUAGAAAUUAGCCUUUGAGUGCCAUGUAACGACGGUACCGAUCCCCCGUAAAUUGACUCAUUAAUAUGGUAUAUUCUGGUUCUUGAAGAUUUUGGAUUCAGUAUAAUGUAUCUAUAGUUUUAAGCUGACAAGGAGAGCCUUCCACUACCCUGGGAUAAUAUUAUAUCUAUGCAAACAGGAGGUGUCAGAUCAGCAAGUAUAGAAGUUGUAUAUUUAAACACCUGUUUUUCAAACAAAGUUAUAGCAUUUUUCUACCACUUACAUUGCAAUAAAAUAUACAUAUAGACACAUUCGACCCAUAUAUAGAGGCAGAACAUCUCCGAAUAUAUACGAAAUCUAAUGGUGACUUCACGUUUCACUAUUCCUUUCCUUUUUACAUUUCUAAUCAUGCAAUAUAAAACAUGUAAAAACUAGAAACUAUAUAAUUAUACUUUUUAAUUUCGCAUAGAAAACUAGAAGUGAGAACUGCAUGUGAAAUGUAAAACUCCACAUGAUACCGGAAACAAACACUUUUUACGGCUUAUAUAGGUUUAUAUAUCUGUGAAAUAAAAUGCAUAUUUUCAUUUCAUUCAGUGAAAAUAUUUUCU
rnacentral:misc_RNA from 1 species